UGUAUAUAUCGAGACGAAAUGAAAAAGGACAAUUCAUAAACCUUCACAUCAUACAACCAAAAAAGACACUGCCGUUGGAAAGAGUUAAGAGGAAGAUUCCGUUGAACAGCGACAUAUAAGAUACAAUUUACCUAAUUCAAAACUACAAGCUUUCAUUUUGGAAUCAAUAGCAACGGUUAACAAUGAUGAUGAGUUUACCACGCGUGGCUAUUAUUGCUUUAAUUUGUACCUUGAUGUGCAGUUAUGGAAGCAGUAUGACUCUGGACGAGAUCAGAAGAUCAAUUCCGAAAGGGGCGACUCUUUAUUCAUAUGCUGGAACCUGUGAAGCCUGUGGUGAAUUCUAUGGUAGUAGCUAUACUUAUCGCUGUCUCACAGACAAAACCUUCGAAACUUACCAUAAAUGUAACAUUGCUGUCAAUGAGAAACGCAAAUAAAAUAUUUGAAAGAAAGCAGAGUUUGGAAAAAGGAAGAGAAUUCGUACAAGA